GGAGGGAUCAUUAACACGAAUACACUUUUGUUCGUAAGAACUUAAGUCGUUUUUCAAAACAAACCAAAACCGCGCACAGGGCACUUUAAUGUUGCCAUUUCUCCCUCAAUUAAGCGUUAACAAAGGCUGAUACUAUCGUGUCGUAUUCACACCUAUUACUAUAUGUGAUAGUAUCAUUUAUUUGAUACAUAGUAAUAAACGUGGGUUGAUAGUAUUGCUUCGCUUUUUCUGAGGACUCAUCAUUUCGUAUCACGAGAUAACCAUACAAACCCAUUUCACCCUAACCGUAUAAAUGUAUGACUGAUGUGAUUGAUAUGUUAAAAGUAAGUAAAAUUAUUUUUUUCUUAUCAAACUCAAACUCGAUAUCAUCGAAAACUAAAAGCACAACUCUUAGCAACGGAUAUCUUGGUUCUCGUAACGAUGAAGAACGCAGCGAAAUGCGAUAUGUAAUGCGAAUUGCAGAAUUCAGUGAAUCAUCAAAUCUUUGAACGCAAAUGGCGCUCUAGGGAUAGUCCUUAGAGCACACCUCUCUCAGUAUCGGUUCAACCUCAAAUCAGCUGCGUAUGUGUUUGAAAAAACAUAUACCAAACCGCUGGAAAAUGAGAGUCACGAUUGCUUCACAUUUAUUUGUGUUUGUCACUUGUGUCUUUUUAAAUAAAAACUUGAGUUUGAGCUAAUAAGCAACUAUAUCAUGAUAUAAACUUUUAACCUGGUGAUUUGUGUUUUGCUUGCAAAAUGCAAUAGCUUAGUGCUAUAUAACUAUGUUAUGAUUGAUGACAGUAUUGUCAAUGCGACUCACACUAGUGACGUGGAUAAUUUGACUGUUUAUUCAGUUAAUCAUUGAAACGUCUCUUCUAGUAUGUAUCUAUUGUUACUCUACAUUCACAUCAAUUAUAAUUCAUUCGUAUAAUAGUGUAAGUGAUACCGUCUAAACAAAAGUCUAAAUUUAUACAAUUGAUUAUUGUUUAUCUAAGCUAUAAACGAAAUUGAAUAAUAUUAUGUAUAUGCUUGCAUAAACAUAAGACUAUUCUCUAAUUCGAAUUAGAUCUGAGAUGAAGUGAGAAAACCCCCUGAAUUUAAGCAUAUUAAUAAGGGGAGGAAAAGAAAAUAACAAUGAUUGCUCUAGUAACGGCGAGUGAAGCGGCAAUAGCUCAAUAUGAAAAUCGUUGAUCCAAGCGGGUCUCCGAAAUGUAUCCUAGAGACGUAUUAUCAGCGCGUGACCUAGACAUAAGUCUUUUGGAAAAAAGCAUCAAAGAGGGUGAGAAUCCCGUCUAUUGGUUUAGAGUUCAUUCACCGCGUACGAUAUAUGUUCAUCGAGUCGAGUUGUUUGGGAUUGCAGCUCUAAAUGGGUGGUAAGUUUCAUCUAAAGCUAAAUAUUGACGAGAGACCGAUAGCGAACAAGUACCGUGAGGGAAAGAUGAAAAGAACUUUGAAAAGAGAGUUAAAAAGUACUUGAAAUUGCUAAGAGGGAAGCGCUGAAAACCAGUGUCAUUGUUGUCAUUUUGCCUAUUGAUGUUUGAUUGCGUAUGCUGUGUGUUGGUAACUCACAUAGUAUAUGAUAAUUGGCUCAUCUGUAGGUCCUGUGAUAAUAAUAUGUCAGAAUGAGUUUGUUUCGUAGGAGAAGGAUAGAAGAAAGGUGAGUUAUUAGUAAUAAUAACUGUUAUAGUCUUUUAUCUCUACUAUGUUAUAGACUGAGGAAGUAAUGAUGCGCCACUAGGCUUUCAUCUCUGCUUCUAUUAUAUUAGUUGGCGUGGAUGUCAAUGACAUGCUGUUGACGAAAUGUAAUACUAGGUAGAUGUAUGAAUAUGCAUUAUCACGAUUCUGACUAAAUGGUUUUCAUCGACCCGUCUUGAAACACGGACCAAGGAGUCUAACAUAUAUGCAAGUAUUUGGGUUGUUAAACCCUGAUGCGUAAUGAAAGUAAAGAUAAGCUUGUCUUAUUGAGGUAGGAAGUCCUUUUUAUCGGGGAUGGCACUAUCGACCGAUCAUCACUUGUGAGAAGAUUUGAGUAAGAGCAUAUCUGUUGGGACCCGAAAGAUGGUGAUCUAUGCCUGAACAGGGUGAAGCCAGGGGAAACUCUGGUGGAGGCUCGUAGCGAUACUGACGUGCAAAUCGUUCGUCUGAUUUGGGUAUAGGGGCGAAAGACUAAUCGAACUAUCUAGUAGCUGGUUCCCUC
rnacentral:misc_RNA from 1 species